rnacentral:misc_RNA from 1 species
GAUGAAGAACGCAGCGAAACGCGAUAGUUAAUGUGAAUUGCAGAAUUCAGUGAAUCAUCGAAUCUUUGAACGCACAUUGCGCCCGCUAGUAUUCUGGCGGGCAUGCCUGUCCGAGCGUCAUUUCAACCCUCAAGCCCCCGGGCUUGGUGUUGGGGAUCGGCGAGCCUCCGCGCCCGCCGUCCCCUAAAUCUAGUGGCGGUCUCGCUGUAGCUUCCUCUGCGUAGUAGCACACCUCGCACUGGGAAACAGCGCGGCCACGCCGUUAAACCCCCAACUUCUGAACGUUUGACCUCGGAUCAGGUAGGAAUACCCGCUGAACUUAAGCAUAUCAAUAAGCGGAGGA